rnacentral:rRNA from 1 species
UAGAGUUUGAUCCUGGCUCAGGACGAACGCUGGCGGCGUGCUUAACACAUGCAAGUCGAGCGGUAAGGCUCCUUCGGGAGUACACGAGCGGCGAACGGGUGAGUAACACGUGAGCAAUCUGCCCUUCACACGGGGAUAACUCCGGGAAACCGGUGCUAAUACCCGAUACGACCACUUCAGGCAUCUGAUGGUGGUGGAAAGUUCCGGCGGUGAAGGAUGAGCUCGCGGCCUAUCAGCUUGUUGGUGGGGUAAAGGCCUACCAAGGCAACGACGGGUAGCCGGCCUGAGAGGGUGACCGGCCACACUGGGACUGAGACACGGCCCAGACUCCUACGGGAGGCAGCAGUGGGGAAUAUUGGACAAUGGGCGAAAGCCUGAUCCAGCAACGCCGCGUGAGGGAUGACGGCCUUCGGGUUGUAAACCUCUUUCAGUAGGGACGAAGCGCAAGUGACGGUACCUACAGAAGAAGCACCGGCCAACUACGUGCCAGCAGCCGCGGUAAUACGUAGGGUGCGAGCGUUGUCCGGAAUUAUUGGGCGUAAAGGGCUCGUAGGCGGUCUGUCGCGUCGAAAGUGAAAACUCAGGGCUUAACCCUGAGCCUGCUUCCGAUACGGGCAGACUAGAGGUAUGCAGGGGAGAACGGAAUUCCUGGUGUAGCGGUGAAAUGCGCAGAUAUCAGGAGGAACACCGGUGGCGAAGGCGGUUCUCUGGGCAUUACCUGACGCUGAGGAGCGAAAGUGUGGGGAGCGAACAGGAUUAGAUACCCUGGUAGUCCACACCGUAACGUUGGGCGCUAGGUGUGGGACUCAUUCCACGAGUUCCGUGCCGCAGCUAACGCAUUAAGCGCCCCGCCUGGGGAGU